rnacentral:sRNA from 1 species
AGGCAUGAGCCACCGCGCCUGGCCAGGAAUCAGUUUUUUCCAACAAGUUUUUGGACUCCACUUUGAGAAAUCCUGACCUGCACUAUGCCUGAAACACUCCAAAGGGAGGGCUGAUCUGGAGACAGAUCUGUCCUGGGACCUGUUUCAGCCCUCUCAGCUCUUGGUGGCUGAGUUGAAGGGUGUGGCCCAGAAGGCAGGGCAGAGCUAGCUUCUGGGAUCCUUCAGCCCCUGCAGGUUUGGGACUCUGUUCACAGGUCCAGACCCAGUACUUAUUAUGAACUGUUGGGGGUGCAUCCUGGUGCCAGCACUGAGGAAGUUAAACGAGCUUUCUUCUCCAAGUCCAAAGAGCUGCACCCAGACCGGGACCCUGGGAACCCAAGCCUGCACAGCCGCUUUGUGGAGCUGAGCGAGGCAUACCGUGUGCUCAGCCGUGAGCAGAGCCGCCGCAGCUAUGAUGACCAGCUCCGCUCAGGUAGUCCCCCAAAGUCUCCACGAACCACAGCCCAUGACAAGUCUGCCUGCCAAACACACAGCUCCUGGGCACCCCCCAACGCGCAGUACUGGUCCCAGUUUCACAGCGUGAGGCCACAGGGGCCCCAGUUGAGGCAGCAGCAACACAAACAAAACAAACAAGUGCUGGGGUACUGCCUCCUCCUCAUGCUGGCCGGCAUGGGCCUGCACUAUAUUGCCUUCAGGUGAUGCCUGUUCUCCCCGGGGCGAUGGGCAGAGGGCAGGAGGGUGGGUGAUUUCCAGUGUGGUCAGCCAGUCCUCCACAGCACCUCGUGGCCCGUACUCUUGUGUCUCUCAAGCUAAGAGCUGCUUGAAAUCGGUCUCUGGAGACUCUCCUUACUUAGUAAAGGCAGCGCUGAACCAA